rnacentral:rRNA from 1 species
UGGGGAAUAUUGCACAAUGGGCGAAAGCCUGAUGCAGCGACGCCGCGUGAGGGAUGACGGCCUUCGGGUUGUAAACCUCUUUCAGCAGGGACGAAGCGCAAGUGACGGUACCUGCAGAAGAAGCACCGGCUAACUACGUGCCAGCAGCCGCGGUAAUACGUAGGGUGCAAGCGUUGUCCGGAAUUACUGGGCGUAAAGAGUUCGUAGGCGGUUUGUCGCGUCGUUUGUGAAAACCAGCAGCUCAACUUCUGGCUUGCAGGCGAUACGGGCAGACUUGAGUACUGCAGGGGAGACUGGAAUUCCUGGUGUAGCGGUGAAAUGCGCAGAUAUCAGGAGGAACACCGGUGGCGAAGGCGGGUCUCUGGGCAGUAACUGACGCUGAGGAACGAAAGCGUGGGUAGCGAACAGG